GGGGAUGUAGCUCACUGGGAGAGCACUUUCCUACCAUGCAUGAGGCCCUGGCUUCAAACCCCAGCUUUGCCA
rnacentral:tRNA from 1 species